GAGAUGUUCCUACAGUUUAAGUGGAGUCAACCUGGGCUAAAUUCAGUUGAAUGGACAUGAUUUGGUAAGACACACACGUGUCUACAUAUAUGGUCCCACCGUUGUCAGACCAAGCAUGAAGUCCAAAGAAUUGUCUGUCGACCUCUGAGACAAGAUUGUCUCAAGGCACAAAUCUGAGGAAGGGUACCUAAACAUUUCUGCUACUUUGAAGGUCCCAAUGAGCACAUUGGCCUCCAUCAUCUGGAAAUGGAAGAAAGUUCAGACCCACCAGGACUCCUCCUUGUGCUGGCCGCCUGUCUAAACUGAGGAAUCGUGGGAGAAGGACCUUAGUCAGGGAGGUGACCAAGAACCCCAUGGUCACUGUGUCAGAGCUCCAGUAUUCUUCUGUGGGAGAGA